rnacentral:rRNA from 1 species
UUAAGUUAAUAAGGGCGCACGGUGGAUGCCUUGGCACUAGAAGCCGAUGAAGGACGUGACUAACGACGAAAUGCUUUGGGGAGCUGUAAGUGAGCAAUGAUCCAGAGAUGUCCGAAUGGGGGAACCCGGCAGGUAAUGCCUGUCACUCAUUACUGUUAAGGUAAUGUAGAGGAAGACGCAGUGAACUGAAACAUCUAAGUAGCUGCAGGAAGAGAAAGCAAAAGCGAUUGCCUUAGUAGCGGCGAGCGAAACGGCAAGAGGGCAAACCGAAGAGUUUACUCUUCGGGGUUGUAGGACUGCAACGUGGACUUAAAGAUUAUAGAAGAACUACCUGGGAAGGUAGGCCAAAGAGAGUAAUAGCCUCGUAUUCGAAAUAGUCUUUAUACCUAGCAGUAUCCUGAGUACGGCGAGACACGAGAAAUCUCGUCGGAAUCUGGGAGGACCAUCUCCCAACCCUAAAUACUCUCUAGUGACCGAUAGUGAACCAGUACCGUGAGGGAAAGGUGAAAAGCACCCCGGGAGGGGAGUGAAAUAGAACCUGAAACCGUGUGCCUACAACAAGUUCGAGCCCGUUAAUGGGUGAGAGCGUGCCUUUUGUAGAAUGAACCGGCGAGUUACGAUAUGAUGCGAGGUUAAGUUGAAGAGACGGAGCCGUAGGGAAACCGAGUCUUAAUAGGGCGCAUUAGUAUCAUGUCGUAGACCCGAAACCAUGUGACCUACCCAUGAGCAGGUUGAAGGUGAGGUAAAACUCACUGGAGGACCGAACCAGGGCACGUUGAAAAGUGCUUGGAUGACUUGUGGGUAGCGGAGAAAUUCCAAACGAACUUGGAGAUAGCUGGUUCUCUCCGAAAUAGCUUUAGGGCUAGCGUCGAUGUUAAGUCUCUUGGAGGUAGAGCACUGUUUGGGUGAGGGGUCCAUCCCGGAUUACCAAUCUCAGAUAAACUCCGAAUGCCAACGAGAUAUAAUCGGCAGUCAGACUGCGAGUGCUAAGAUCCGUAGUCGAAAGGGAAACAGCCCAGACCACCAGCUAAGGUCCCAAAAUAAUUGUUAAGUGGAAAAGGAUGUGGAAUUGCACAGACAACUAGGAUGUUGGCUUAGAAGCAGCCAUUCAUUCAAAGAGUGCGUAAUAGCUCACUAGUCGAGUGACCCUGCGCCGAAAAUGUACCGGGGCUAAAACAUAUUACCGAAGCUGUGGAUACCUUUAUAGGUAUGGUAGGAGAGCGUUCUAUGUGCGAAGAAGGUGUACCGUGAGGAGUGCUGGAGCGCAUAGAAGUGAGAAUGCCGGUAUGAGUAGCGAAAGACAGGUGAGAAUCCUGUCCACCGUAAGACUAAGGUUUCCAGGGGAAGGCUCGUCCGCCCUGGGUUAGUCGGGACCUAAGGAGAGACCGAAAGGUGUAUCCGAUGGACAACAGGUUGAUAUUCCUGUACUAGAGUAUAUAGUGAUGGAGGGACGCAGUAGGCUAACUAAACCAGACGAUUGGAAGUGUCUGGCCAAGCAGUGAGGUGUGAUAUGAGUCAAAUGCUUAUAUCUAUAACAUUGAGCUGUGAUGGGGAGCGAAGUUUAGUAGCGAAGUUAGUGAUGUCACACUGCCGAGAAAAGCUUCUAGCGUUAAUUAUACUCUACCCGUACCGCAAACCGACACAGGUAGUCGAGGCGAGUAGCCUCAGGUGAGCGAGAGAACUCUCGUUAAGGAACUCGGCAAAAUGGCCCCGUAACUUCGGGAGAAGGGGCGCUGACUUAUGGUCAGCCGCAGUGAAUAGGCCCAAGCAACUGUUUAUCAAAAACACAGCUCUCUGCUAAAUCGUAAGAUGAUGUAUAGGGGGUGACGCCUGCCCGGUGCUGGAAGGUUAAGAGGAGUGCUUAGCAAUAGCGAAGGUAUGAAUUGAAGCCCCAGUAAACGGCGGCCGUAACUAUAACGGUCCUAAGGUAGCGAAAUUCCUUGUCGGGUAAGUUCCGACCCGCACGAAAGGCGUAAUGAUUUGGGCACUGUCUCAACGAGAGACUCGGUGAAAUUUUAGUACCUGUGAAGAUGCAGGUUACCCGCGACAGGACGGA